rnacentral:lncRNA from 1 species
AUGUUCAUAAACAUUAUCUGCCUCAGUGGCUUGUAUAUUAUACAAAAGGAUUAUUACUUGCCAAUUGGUUCAAUGUAUGUGAUUUAAAUCUCACCUAUAUAUGUAACUGAACAAAUCUAACCUAUUUGCCUAUAUACUCAGUUUGUUUUCAGUGAUAAAACUAAUUAUUUGUCCCUCUUAUCAUCUUAUGUAACAUCCUGCUUGUUGACUGAUGAUUUAUUGAAUAUGAUAUUCACCUAAAAAAGUGUUGAUGAUGUCUCUGAUAGUCAUUCCUGCAGAAAGAGUUCAAAGGGUAAGUUUUUUAGACAAUUACAUAUUGGGGCAUAGAUGUAGUAAUAUUGAAACAGCCAAUUUUAGUUCUGAACCAGCAAGGGAUAUCCAUGGGUUAUCAAUCAAAUCAUAAACAAGCCAUAAAGAGCAAAGGCAAUGCAGAAAUCAUAGGUCCUUCAGUUACAAAUCCCUAUCAACAGUCAGGGGCAGCUUUAAGGCCUCACUAAACCAUGGAAAUUUAAAAGAGGCAAAUCUGAAAACCUCACCUUUUCAGUUACAAAUCAAACAUAAUUGGCAGGAAUAAUAGGCAGCAUUGAAGUGGAGUAAUCAAAAUAGAAUAGCCAGAAAACAAAAGGGUAAUCCUACGUUGGAUUUCAAUUGGCAACUCAAGAGGUUUCCAUGAACCCUUAAUCAGUAUAAAAGGGACAAGCACCAAGCAGAUUGCAACGGUGGUAAAAGGGGGGGAGCAUACUUUGCGACAGAAAUCAGAGAGAGAUAGAACAAUCAAAGAAAAAGGCGAUAGAGAACUCAUAUAAACCACACCACAAUCAUAAAAAAAUCAAAGAGAGAAGACAAGAGAACCAGAAAAACACAUAUUGCAACAGGGACUACGAUACCAAAACAUAUACAACAUCACAGUACAUACAGACCACACAAAGACAACAAAGAAAGAAUACUGAUAUCACACCACACACAACAAAUCAGUCAGCAUACAUAAAAGAAGUAAUCAGAGACAUUAGAAGGUGAAGAAUUCGGACGGUUCAUAGCGGGUGCAGGGAACAUCCAGGAACAAGAAUCAUCCAGGAUGACCUUCAAAGGGUAAAAAACCGGGAUACAUAUUCAGGUAAGCAGCAUAUUUCAUUCAUUUACAUAAUUGAAGGCAGUAUGAUUUACCUAGUUUAUGUUCCGAAUAUCAAAAGCAUACGUAGACCCAUUAUUCCAUUGAGAACACCAAAACUGAAUAAAUUACAUCAUGGUUGUUCCAAGUAUGAUUUGUUCUCACCCGAAAAAGUCUUUUUUUUCUUCAUAUGUGUGUCACUGAUUUAUCCAAACCAUAAGGAAUAAAUAGAACGCAAACAGGGAUAGGAAUCGUUACCGAAAUCCCUUGCUUAUGUCGAUUCCAAGCCGAGUGGCCACUUCCACCUUCUAUUAUCCUCACUGUGAAGCACCGCAACCUCAUCCAGAAACCCCACAUACCUGAAAGACAUAGGGGUAGCUCAACACCACCCAAAUCAAUCAUAACCCUGUCGGAAAUAAUUAGCCAAGGAAGACAACCGAAUCCCUACCUUACCCUAAUGACCAUAGUGAGAAUAGGAGCCCAAACCGAGAGCCACCACACAAUAUCGUCUUCAUUCUCUCUUAAUUCA